GAUGUCUGCAACAACACCCAGAGCUGAGGCAAGUGAAAAGCAGGAGCCUGAAUCUCUGUCCAGGUCUCCCAGGAGGGAGAGAAAGCUACGUGGUGUGGUGCUUGUGUGAGCCAGGAAAAGGCCCUGUGAUCUGCAAGUGGAGAUAUAGACCCCGGGAGAAAGAAGGAGAUGGCCCCAGUCCUUGGCUUCCAGCCACCCAGCUGGGAGACUUGAUGGAGUGCUGAACUCCUGGCUUCAG